rnacentral:lncRNA from 1 species
GUACGACCAACGGAAAUAAAUAUAGAAACAAAAAGUAACUACUUCUUAGCCUUCACCUAUUACAACCUGCCGCUAGUAACUACGUUUUUUACGUUUGAGAUUGUUGGUUGUAUAGCAACGUGUCUAAAGACAGUGAAUUAUUUUUGUCAACGAGAUGUAAACAACUGUGACGCAUGCGCAAGGCGCAGGGAAUGCGUGAACUUCAGUUUACGUCGGAAAAUUCAAUGAUGAAAUUCAAUGAUGAUAGUCACUCCAUGCUAGAUCACCAACUCCUGUAGGUUCUAACAUGCCAUAGAUGGCUACAGCCUCUCUUCUCAGUCAACACCAACAUGUUUGUGAAAUUCAAACAGCUAUUCUAUUAUACUGGCAAUUAUGAGUUAGGGAUUUUGGAAUCAUAUUAAUUCGACUUCUUUUUAGAGAAAGGAAAAAACGUGUAACGUCUCUGUUCCUCCACUCCCAACUGUCCGUUGGAAGAAGAGGGACAGCAAAGAAGAUUAUCAUCGUUGUGGUAGGAGUACGACAGGGGCGCAGAGUCGAGGAAAAGGGUAUAAUCCAUGUUUUAAUUGAAAAGAAAGACACAAAACAAAACAAAACAAAACAAAACAAAACAAAACAAAACAAAACAAAACAAAACAAAACAAAACAAAACAAAAGCAGCAACCAGUGACUUCAGGUAUUCCAUACAAAGGCAAAACCAAAAUGAACCACACGGGUGUGGCUAAACAUGGACCAUAAAUAAGGUCCCCAAUUGGAGGCAACGAUCAACACCUGCCUCCAACUGGGAAGACCAAAAGGAUUGGAGGUGCCACCUCAUGUCCUGACUAUGCCCCCAGCCCAGCGCAGAGAUGGCUAGGGGCAUCGCCAGGACGUGACAGAGAUCUAGUCUUUCAGCGACCAAGAUCAGCAAGAUCCACAAAGGGCUCAUCACCUGCACACCCAUCUGCCAAAGCUAGAAGCCAUGACAUUGGAGAGGACACAGAAGAUCUUGAACUUCAGGAACUCUUGGACAAUUCUGAUGUUCAUGAUGAGACCUCACCACCUCAGCUCAAGGCAUCCUCAGACUGGGAUACUAGACAGCUAAUGUCUUCAGAAAGGUGGAGGGAGGCAAGGGCAUUUCUCUUUAACCACUGGCUGGCAAUGGAGGAUGUCUCCUCAUCACCCAUAUGUUAACAGUGUGGUACCAACCCAGUUGUCGUGCGCUGUAGAAAAUGCCUUCCAAGACCCUUCUUCUGUGCCGAGUGUGACUUAGCAAGGCAUUCCCUUUUCGUCCGCUACAAUAGGGUUGCCAAGGUGAAAAGUUUCCUAGAGUCACUGCAGGCAUCACAAUCCUUGAUGGCAGCCAUGCUCACAAACAACUUGGUAUCUUCCUACUGUUUUAGAGAUCACAUAAAUGUACCUUCCUUCUAUUCUUUCAUGAUUAGAAAUUGUUGUAAUCUUUUUCUAUGAUAUCUGUUUUUAUUUAGCUCCUCUC